rnacentral:rRNA from 1 species
UACAUGGGGUGCAAACGUUGCUCGGAAUUAUUGGGCGUAAAGCGCACGUAGGCGGUUCGUUAAGUCGGAUGUGAAAGCCCUCGGCUCAACUGAGGAAGUGCACCCGAAACUGGCGAGCUUGAGUACGAAAGAGGAUCGCGGAAUUCCCGGUGUAGAGGUGAAAUGCGCAGAUAUCGGGAGGAACACCAAUUGCGAAGGCAGCUCGCUGGGACGUCGACUGACGCUGGAG